rnacentral:rRNA from 1 species
UACGUAGGGUGCGAGCGUUAAUCGGAAUUACUGGGCGUAAAGCGUGCGCAGGCGGUUCGUUGUGUCGGCGGUGAAAGCCCCGGGCUCAACCUGGGAAUUGCAUUUGAGACUGAAUAGCUAGGGUGCGGAAGAGGGAAGCGGAAUUUCCGGUGUAGCGGUGAAAUGCGUAGAUAUCGGAAGGAACACCAGUGGCGAAAGCGGCUUCCUGGUCCAGCACCGACGUCAGGCACGAAAGCGUGGGGAGCAAACAGG